CUUCGGGGCGGGGUGCGAUUCCCCACCGACGGUAAAAGCCCGUGAACGCUCAAAAGAGCGCCGAGCCGGUGAGAUUCCGGCGCCGACGGUAUAGUCCGGAUGAAAGAGGU
rnacentral:ncRNA from 1 species